AAUCAACGCUGGCGGCGCGCUUAACACAUGCAAGUCGAACGAGGAAGGGAGCAAUCCUGAGUAAAGUGGCGCACUGGUGAGUAACACGUGGGUAAUUUACCUUCUUGUGGGGAAUAACCCUGGGAAACUAGGGCUAAUACCGCAUACGUCCGAGAGGAGAAAGCCGCAAGGCGCAGGAAGAGAAGCCCGCGGCCGAUUAGCUAGUUGGCGGGGUAAAGGCCCACCAAGGCGACGAUCGGUAGCUGGUCUGAGAGGAUGAUCAGCCACACUGGAACUGAGACACGGUCCAGACUCCUACGGGAGGCAGCAGUGGGGAAUAUUGGACAAUGGGCGCAAGCCUGAUCCAGCCAUGCCGCGUGUGUGAAGAAGGCCUUCGGGUUGUAAAGCACUUUUGUUGGGGAAGAAAAGCUCGUGGUUAAUACCCGCGGGUUCUGACGGUACCCAAAGAAUAAGCACCGGCUAACUUCGUGCCAGCAGCCGCGGUAAUACGAAGGGUGCAA
rnacentral:rRNA from 1 species